AAACCUGUCACUUCUGAACCAAUCAAACACACAGUCGAGGGUACUACGUCAUAUUGCAUGUGUUUUCUUCACCAAAUAUGGGAUUAGGUAAACACAGCCUUAUGUUGUUACACUACACUACGUGUGACAAUUUUAUGUUAUCGGGCAUAUGUUUAUGAGAAUCAGAUAUGCAGCCGUCACAGCCUGCUGAUGAAGAUCCUCAGCUUAUUAUACAGAGGUCAGGCUUGAGCUAUGUGCUGAUUCAAAAGAUGCUAAUGACAGUGGAUAAUCCAUUCUGAGUUGUUCUAGGAUCAUUCACCAACGUUUCAAAACACUGAUGGAAUUGAAGGCAGUACAUAUACUGAUGUCUGGCCUGUGAUUUCAAGUAUAGACUAUAAUUGAUGUACCUCCUCCUGAUGUAUCUCCAUGAAAAUAUUUUCUGCCAUGUGAAAGGAGCAAGCUGCAAGAUAUACUGUGGAAGUGGGGGCCUAUGUAAAAAACAUUUUAUUUAAAGAAUAUAAGAAAUCUGACACUAAACUACUGAAAAGGUGCACAGGGGACAUUUUUGUGUGUAUAGACUUUCAUCAAGAUUCUGAGAAAGUUGAUUUAUUAAACAGAAAUAGUCAUAUUGUGUCUUCAAAGCUGAAAAAGAUUAAGAUCUUAGGAAACAUUAGGACUCAAGAAAAGUAAUGGGGUAAUGAAACUGCAGUGUUCAACAUUUAAAUUGUUUGUUUUUUUUCACUACAUUUUGUGAAGAGGGUUCCAUCACAAGAUGUGACAUAUUGGUAAGAAUGAGAUGUAGUUUAUGAAAAAAAGUAUUUUGCUUUAAAUGUGUAGCAUUUAAGUUACAUAACAAGAGUGCAAGAAUGUCACAAUAUACGCCCGUCACAGCAAAUUUCUUUACUCUAGCAGCUGUAUUUGCAAAUGGAAUUUUAAUUUUGUGGUUGUUUAGUAAUAACUAAGUGUUUUGUUUUUCUAAGUCCACAAAAAAACUCCUUACCAGGUAGAGAUACCUUAAAAUACACCUAAAAUUGGAAAGUAACAUCUAUGUUGUACCACAGAAAAGUGGUCUUGGUUUUUCCCUACGGUCAAUUAUAAAAAAGUUACAAUAUAAGUUAUUUAUAGUAACAACUAAGGGAAGUUAAUCUUAAAAAAAAAAAAAAAAAAAAAAAUCAAAAAAAAAAAUUGUAAGUCCACACAAAAAUCUUUACCAGGUAGAGACUGGUCAAAAUACACCUCAAAAUUGGAUGUAGCAUGCAUGUUGUACUACAGAAAAGUGGUCUCGAUUUUUCCCUACGACUAGUAAUGAAAAAGUUACAAUAUAAGCUAUUUAUAGCAACAACAAAGGGAAGUAAUUCUAAAGAAGGGAACUGCGCAUGACACUUCGUCUCAUGAUGGUGUAUAAUUGUGUCAAGUUACAUCAAAAUCCCUCCAUGCAUGAAGAAGAAAUGCUUCGGACAAAGUCAUUCUUGUAUCUGACCUUUGGCCUCUAAGUGUGACCUUGACCUUAGACCUAGGGACCUGGUUCUUGCGCAUGACA